GAUCCUGGCUCAGGACGAACGCUGGCGGCGUGCCUAAUACAUGCAAGUAGAACGCUGAAGGAGGAGCUUGCUUCUCUGGAUGAGUUGCGAACGGGUGAGUAACGCGUAGGUAACCUGCCUGGUAGCGGGGGAUAACUAUUGGAAGCGAUAGCUAAUACCGCAUAAUAGCAGUUGUUGCAUGACAACUGUUUUAAAGUUGCAAAUGCAAUCACUACCAGAUGG
rnacentral:rRNA from 1 species